CUUAGAGUUUGAUCAUGGCUCAGAACGAACGCUGGCGGCAGGCUUAACACAUGCAAGUCGAGCGCGUAGCAAUACGAGCGGCAGACGGGUGAGUAACGCGUGGGAAUCUACCCAUCACUACGGAAUAACUCAGGGAAACUUGUGCUAAUACCGUAUACGCCCCUCUUUAAAAGAUCAGGAUUAUGGAUUUCCUGGUUUUUUAUGGGGGGGAAAGAUUUAUCGGUGAUGGAUGAGCCCGCGUUGGAUUAGCUAGUUGGUGGGGUAAAGGCCUACCAAGGCGACGAUCCAUAGCUGGUCUGAGAGGAUGAUCAGCCACAUUGGGACUGAGACACGGCCCAAACUCCUACGGGAGGCAGCAGUGGGGAAUAUUGGACAAUGGGCGCAAGCCUGAUCCAGCCAUGCCGCGUGUGUGAUGAAGGCCUUAGGGUUGUAAAGCACUUUCACCGGAGAAGAUAAUGACGGUAUCCGGAGAAGAAGCCCCGGCUAACUUCGUGCCAGCAGCCGCGGUAAUACGAAGGGGGCUAGCGUUGUUCGGAAUUACUGGGCGUAAAGCGCACGUAGGCGGAUCGAUCAGUCAGGGGUGAAAUCCCGCAGCUCAACUGCGGAACUGCCUUUGAUACUGUCGGUCUAGAGUAUGGAAGAGGUGAGUGGAAUUCCGAGUGUAGAGGUGAAAUUCGUAGAUAUUCGGAGGAAC
rnacentral:rRNA from 1 species